ACGCAGAGAGAGCGAGCGAGCGAGCGAGAGACAGAGAGAGUGUCCGCUGGAAUCGGAGCAAUUCCCAAGUCCUUAAAAAAACUCACGGAAUGAGUCGAUCAGAUGUGAAGGCGUGGGACGCUGCUGCGAGAUGACCAGAAGAUGGCAGUGCUGAGUGUCACCGAGAAUGCGUGCCGACAUAUCUCCUCGUGCUGCGAUUAAUUACCACGUGAAGCCACCCAGUCAAGGCCAUCACGAUCGCUCUCCUCGGGUGACUCCCAUCGCCUGCGGAUCCCGUGACGUGCCUCCCACGGUGUCUGGUCUGCGCUGGAAGCACCGUGUUUGCUUUUUUUUUAAUAUAUUAGCCUUUAGGAACACACUCCCACCGCCUACGUAUGUGACUCACUUCAGUGUCAUUUGUACAAUCUGACCUUAAAUAAUUCAACGUGUGUUUUAUUUUUCAACCUUGGCUAAUUAAUAGCAAUGCUACCCGUGGGUGUCAUUGUGAGCCCACUCGACUUGCAGUUCGGGUCGCCGGUUCGAGUUUCCCGGCACGGCAGUGGAAACGUCGGGGCCGGUUUCUUAAAUCCCCCCCCAUGUAGAGCAGCGACGCGAUUCCACGAGCCAGGGCAGAGUUCGCACUCAGCGCUGGGUCUAUCAGCCUGCGUAGUAUAGCGUCAUGACGUUACCACCAACACAGUACCGGUAUCAGAUCUUGCUACGAAGCAAUCCCUGCUACCUGAACACAAGUACCAACAGCGUGAAUGGGGUACACGGUGGUUCAUCAGCAAGUCGCCUGUGCUUGGAUAGGGCAUGGAUACUCCCACCUCUACCAAGACGUCUGGUCAGCGUGGAAGGGUCGGCAAAUACCUUCUAGAGGGGAUCUCUAGAGCUCUCUCUAGUGGAGGCCCUACCCCGAGCAGUAGUGUCAGUAAGACAUUGCAGGGGUGUACCUUUAUCUAGAGGCACUAAUUAAUUGGCAUGUAGGGAAUUCAUUGAGAGAAAGGAGGAGGAACACGUGGACCAGAGACUAUUCCCAGUUUAAUGACAUCGUUCAAACUGUUUGUGAAAAAUAAGUGGGCUUUGGCAGGACACGAUAUUAGAAGGGAUGGUGGGAGGAUCAAGACUAAUGACAGCGAGAGCCAAGGCAUGUUACGUUUCCAAGCAGACGUCCUCUGGGGAAGAUGUAUUGAUGAAAUAAACGUGCGUGCAGGUGCAAGGUGGAGUGGUCGCGAGCGAUGGUGGCAGUGCGCCAAAGCCUUCGUCCAGCAGUGAAUGGACCAUGGUUGAUGAUAACGCUGGGCAGUGGUGGCUAUGCCUGUAACCUAGCAAUGUGGCGGCGAGGGUUGAUGGAUCACACACGUGUUGCGAAACUCCCCUUACCAUAGGUGGCAUACCCUAGCUUGUCAGGAGAAGGCAGUCCAGCAAUUGUGGACUCCGUCUCUUCCAUUUCUGUGAGAUGCAGUGUUGCACCCUCGAACGUAUGGGGUUUCUUUAGGCACUUCCGGUUUCCUCUCACAUGCAAACUCAUGAAUUUGCUGAUAAUAUCUGAAUAAUUAGAGGACUCCAGAGCUUGGACAGUUGUUGGUGGCUCGCAGCCUUGACUGCCUUCCUGCUUCUCUGCGCCUCCUCGAGCCUCUGCGUCUUUCUCCCUCCUUAAGCAUUUACAUUUGUAUUAUUAUUAUUAUUGCAUGUCAAGGCUCUAGUGGCUGCAGGGUAAACAUGAACUAAUAAAAUACAACAUGUAUGAAUCAAAUAUAAUGGAUUUUUUUAGUCACAUUUUGAUGCAUGCAUAGCGAGUGUCAUCGUUAAUUUUUUUUAAAAAUGAAAAUCAAUUAAUUAUCCAAUGCUUAGCUGCCUGCUAAUUUAGCUCUGAGCAAACGUGCUCAUGCUUUUUGUAGAAAUACCACGUGACAAAAAAUGUGAACACGCAAGCCUACGUUUGUAAAUGUGUUGAUGUGUACAAUAUGCAAAUGUAUGAAAUAUAUAUAUGAAUCAUUAAUAGGAUAAAUCCCAUAGAGUUGUUUUUACAAACAUAUAAGUAUUCCUCACUUCAUGCAAUUUGGUUUCCCUUGUAUGCGGCUAACAUAUUUCUUCCCAAAAUUCGCCCUGUGUGGUUGGAACUCACUCAUAUACGGCUAUGUGGUCAGACGUGGGAAAACAUUGCAUGUGCUGUAUGCACUACUUGGGAGGUAGCUGUCUCAUGCAGCUUUGCUUUACACACCGUCUUUUGGAAUACAUCUACCGCACAAAGCGAGCAAAUCUUAUAUAUGCGACGACGGCAGUGUGUUUAUUUCCAUGGCGUGAGAAUUCACAAGUUGACGGUUAUUGCUUUUCAUCUGAAUUUUGGUCUAAAUGUGGCCAAUGUCUCAAUCACAGACCCUACCCAUUUAAACGAUAGGCUGGCAGUUUUUCAACCCUUUUACCACCUACCAAUUUACAAGGCGAGAAUUACAUCAAAGGCAAUUGUUUUAGUCUUCAAAACCCUUGUAAAGGAAAUCGCCAAUGUGAUGUGUUUUUGCCAUUCCAUAAAGAUGCAAAUCUGACCUGAAGUGUCUAGGAGCGAAUUGCUGUGAAAGGUUCUGCAUACUGCACACAGCUGUAACCAGAUGAUGCAUGCUUGGGAUUACAUUGAGAGACGGAGAGAGGUAACACAAGGAUUAUAGAAAAUACUCACGUCCUACGCUGAGACAUCUUACUAACCAGGGCUUCAUUUGAGCCAGGUCUGGUUCAUCAACCGAGAAAAUAUUUCUGCACCCAGCACGCCACAUAGAGCAUGUAUCUUGCCAUGGCUAUGGCUACUUAGCUCAUGCAUACUCCCAUCUACCAGCUACCCAGGAAAAUAUCCAGUGAGAUAUAACUCAGAUGUUUUAUUGCUUCCAGUAUUUAUAUUUCAGCUUCGGCAUUUGCACGCGACUGAUAAGUAUUCCACAAAUGUUAGCAAAUAUCCCCGCGGCUCCCCCUGUAGACGUGCCCUUUCGCUUCCUAGUCCCCUCCUCAUCAAGACUCGUUUGGCGGCUGCGGGGAGGCAGAGCGGAGGGCGAAUUACCAUCAAACACGAGUCGUGUGUGCAACAACAGCAAAUGGCCCUAAUGAAAUGAAUAUAUUAAAGGGUGGUUUAAAAAAAAAUCAAAGGGGUCGCGCCAAAUUAACUCGGCGAGCCACUAUGCACAUCGUACAAUAUAUGCAUUUAUGUACUGAAGAGCGUUUCCAAAUUAAAUGAAGUGUAAUUAAAAGUUUAAUGGCAGAUAUAAAUCUGCCUGCUAACUUAUAGCCCGUAAGAGAGAAGAUGGGCCAUUACAACCGCAGAAGGCAGACUGUAAUUAUUACCUGUACACUUUUAUUCCAAUGAAGUAUCUUCAACCUUUAUGUUAAUCGUCCCCGUGUCAAAUAAACCAUUGCAAAUGUGUGCAUGCAUACGCCGUGUGCACUUCGCGUCCUAUUUGUCAAUCCACUGCUGGAUGAGGGCCUCGCCACGCGGCGCGGUACGUGUCAGUCUAUUGACCGUACUUCACCACACCGCUCAGUCGCUGGGCGGUCAACGUUAGGGCCCAACAUGCCUCUAAUGUAAUUUGUGAUUGAUGUUAGCAAUGGCCUGGAAUUAAACUUAGAUUUGCUGGGUUUAGCACUGAUUUGAUUCGCGGGGCACGGAGCACAGUACGGUAAAAUCAUGAAUGUCAAUGCACUGCCCUCAACUGUCCAGCCUCGAGCCUGCUUAGCUUCCGAGGCGGUGGUGGCGCAUGCCUGUCAUCCAGCCCUGUGGAGGCAGCGAGGGUUGGUAGAUCACAAUACAGACGUUGUGGAAACUCCUUUCCCGUAGGCGUCGAGGAGGUAACAUACACUGGCUUGCCAGGAGAAUGCGGUACCGCAAAUGUGGACAUCAUCUGUUCCAUCUCGACGUGAUCGAAUCUUGCCCCCAUCGCAUGCGUGGGUUUUUCUCCAGGCGUCCUGGUUUUCCUCCCGCAUGUAAACACUCGUGAAGUGACCAUCAACACCUGAAUCUGUAGAGGACCGCGGAGUUUGUGGGAGAAUGUGUUGCUGGCUCAGUGCAUGGCUGCCUUUCCCACUGUCCGUAGUUCCUCGUUCCGCUUUGGUCGUUGUCUCUUCCAGAGUGGGUGAAUCCUGUGUCCGUUACAAGUUAAAAUUAUUGUUAUUAUUACAAGAUCGGAUGCAAUCCCGGUUGAUUUGUCAAUGCAGCGGUCAUUGUGAAUGUACCUGCAGCGGUCAUUUUAGCGGUUGAUUAAAAAAAGCCAUUUGCUCUCUGCAGGUGAAUGGAUAAGACAGACUGCUGUCGGGAGUGAAUAUACGGACUGCACACCGCCUGUUAAACCACGACGGCGCCAGUCUUUGGAUAUUCCUUGCGCGACUGCGCUUAUCGGUGACAAUGCGAACAUCUGGUAACAUCAUCCGGAGCCAUCACAGCUCACAAAGGAAGGCCGUUGCUAAGUCCCACGGGCUUAGGCUUUCGAGCCAAAUGAUGUGCACGCUUUAGGUUCAUUAAGGAGUUGGUGGGGUUUGUGGAACGGCAGUUUCCUCCGAGGAAAGCCCAAUAAUGUGUUCCUGUAAUGUUUCCAGGGGGUUUGCCCAUGCAGUUAUUGAGCAUUAGGCACACGCGUGCCUGUUAAUAUUUAAAGCACCAAUACGGACCGAGUUUAUAAGCACCGCGCGUGCCCUUUUCCCUGCACACAUCUGGGCGUGUGUUUAUAACGGGGACAUUUAGAACCCAGUCGACAGAUGUUAAACUACACAUCCUUUUGCCGCAUUGAUUUUCGAAAAGCUUGCGAUCGUUGCAUAUAGUGUUGCUUAACACAAACAACUUUACAUAAUUGUGCAAUUGAACUGCGGUGUAAAAAUCCAUAUUUUACAUAAUUGGUGUAAUUAAAAUGCAACGACGGGAUCGGUGGCACAGCGGUUAGUGCACCGUGUUCUGAACCCGGCGACCUCACGACUCCCAAAUUGUAACCAGUGCUGGACCACCCCCUCCUGCAUCACCACCCCUUGCACCAACCCACAGAGGCCAGCGUGGUGAAGUAUGGUCACAAUCUCACGACUGACAAAGCACGGGGAUUGUCUCCAUCUGAUAGUGGAUUGACAGUGGCUGUCAUUAUUAUUUAUUAUGAUAUCAAUACAAUGCCAAUUAUUGAACGUAUAUUGUGCUCUGUAAAUGUUCUAGCAAAGUGCUCAUACAGCGUGUGGAUUUGCGCACAUGUAUAUGCACUCGAAUGUAUGCGUGUACUUCCUAUAACCUUUAACUAGAGGGUAUGUACCGUUGCCCAUUCAAGGGUUGUUACGCAUCUGCCCUGGUUCUGUUUCUCUCUGUUUGCGUUGUUGAAAAUAUAAAUAAAGGAAGGUAAAAAACAGGGGGUCGAUGUUUUAUCCUCUCAUUGUAAAAUGUGUUUCUAUGGCGCUUUGUUUACCGCUCGCCGCGUCAGCGCAGCGCACGGUCAAGCGACGAAAUAACGAACGAGAAUUUAAACUAACGCCAGAGAGGAAGAGAAAUGCAUUUCCGUCAACAUUGACGCCGGUAUCAGGAGCCCAUGAAAGCCUUCUGGUCCAAACUUUGUCUCUCGUACAUUUGAUAUACCAAUUGGCAUUGGAAUAGGGCCUUAUCUGCCCAGCCCAGCAGCACGGUCCCAUGGGGGUGGAGAGCGGUCUAUUACUGUUUCAAAUCGAAUCCCACCAUAGAAAGGUCCAGUCGCGAGCCCUCUGCUAUAGUUCCGCAGGCAGCUCGCUCGCUCGACCGCCCAAUCCAUGCUGGGGUUACGUCAGAACCAAGGCGCCCCCCCCCCUACUCCCCCCCCCCCCUGCACAGCGCCUCACUGUUGGCCACGAUCCGGCGACGCCAAAUGAGUGAAGCCACAUCAAGAGGUGGCAGGGGGGGGGGCUGGAUGAGGAGAAUCUGUUCCUCUAGCUUGUAACCCCCUCUCGUGCAUGAAUUAUUGCAAGAGAAAGAUAAUUUAAAGAAACGUGAUUUUACAAGUCAGUGGACACCCCCCCCCCCCCCCGC